rnacentral:rRNA from 1 species
UGUUUCGGCUAGGGGGCCAUCCCGGCUUACCAACCCGAUGCAAACUGCGAAUACCGGAGAAUGUUAUCACGGGAGACACACGGCGGGUGCUAACGUCCGUCGUGAAGAGGGAAACAACCCAGACCGCCAGCUAAGGUCCCAAAGUCAUGGUUAAGUGGGAAACGAUGUGGGAAGGCCCAGACAGCCAGGAUGUUGGCUUAGAAGCAGCCAUCAUUUAAAGAAAGCGUAAUAGCUCACUGGUCGAGUCGGCCUGCGCGGAAGAUGUAACGGGGCUAAACCAUGCACCGAAGCUGCGGCAGCGACGCUGAUGCGUUGUUGGGUAGGGGAGCGUUCUGUAAGCCUGCGAAGGUGGCCUGUGAGGGUUGCUGGAGGUAUCAGAAGUGCGAAUGCUGACAUAAGUAACGAUAAAGCGGGUGAAAAGCCCGCUCGCCGGAAGACCAAGGGUUCCUGUCCAACGUUAAUCGGGGCAGGGUGAGUCGACCCCUAAGGCGAGGCCGAAAGGCGUAGUCGAUGGGAAACGGGUUAAUAUUCCCGUACUUGGUGUUACUGCGAAGGGGGGACGGAGAAGGCUAUGUUGGCCGGGCGACGGUUGUCCCGGUUUAAGCGUGUAGGUGUGUGUUCCAGGUAAAUCCGGUUCACUUUAACACUGAGGCGUGAUGACGAGG